GUCGGGAUAGCUCAGUCGGUAGAGCAGAGGACUGAAAAUCCUCGUGUCACCAGUUCA
rnacentral:tRNA from 1 species